AGUCAGUUCGUCUCAGAGGCCCGGGUGGCUGGGCGGUGAUUGGCGCUAUAUUAUGUGUGUACAAUAUUGCACCAGUCCCGGCCUAUCCAAACGGGCCGGCCUCCGGAGACCGCUAC
rnacentral:pre_miRNA from 12 species